UGGCUCAGUGGACAGAGUGUUGGCCUGUGGACUCAAAGGUCCCGGGUUCGAUUCCUGG
rfam:Myotis brandtii contig207293, whole genome shotgun sequence.